rnacentral:rRNA from 1 species
GACGAACGCUGGCGGCGUGCUUAACACAUGCAAGUCGAACGGUGAAGGCGUACCUUGCUCUGAUGGGUCAGUGGAACACGGGUGUGUCACACGUGAGCAAUCUGCCGCUGAUUCUGGUAUGAGCGCUGGAAACGGCGUCUUAUCCUGGAUACGAGCUGCGUAGGCAUCUUCAGCAGCUGGAAAGACGUUCGGUCAGGGAUGAGCUCGCGGCCUAUCAGCUUGUUGGUGAGGUACCGGCUCACCAGGGCGUCGACGGGUAGCCGGCCUGAGGGGGUGACCGGCCACACUGGGACUGAAACACGGCCAAGACUCCAACGGGGGGCGGCAGUGGGAAAUAUUGCACAAUGGGCGAAGGCCUGAUGAAGCACCGCCGCGGGGGGGAGGACGGCCUUCGGUUGGAAAACCUCUUUGAGCAGGGAAGAAGCUAAUGUGACGGUACCUACAGAAGAAGCGCCGGCUAACUACGUG